AGUGAACGCUGGCGGUAGGCCUAACACAUGCAAGUCGAACGGCAGCACAGUAAGAGCUUGCUCUUACGGGUGGCGAGUGGCGGACGGGUGAGGAAUACAUCGGAAUCUACUUUUUCGUGGGGGAUAACGUAGGGAAACUUACGCUAAUACCGCAUACGACCUACGGGUGAAAGCAGGGGAUCUUCGGACCUUGCGCGAUUGAAUGAGCCGAUGUCGGAUUAGCUAGUUGGCGGGGUAAAGGCCCACCAAGGCGACGAUCCGUAGCUGGUCUGAGAGGAUGAUCAGCCACACUGGAAGUGAGACACGGUCCAGACUCCUACGGGAGGCAGCAGUGGGGAAUAUUGGACAAUGGGCGCAAGCCUGAUCCAGCCAUACCGCGUGGGUGAAGAAGGCCUUCGGGUUGUAAAGCCCUUUUGUUGGGAAAGAAAAGCAGCAGGUUAAUACCCCGCUGCUCUGACGGUACCCAAAGAUUAAGCACCGGCUAACUUCGUG
rnacentral:rRNA from 1 species